AUGAGAAAGCUAGGAACUUCUUAUGGUAUUCUCUGGUGCUGGAUAAGUCUACUGAUCUCUUGAGUACGUCACAACUUCUCGUGUUCAUUUGUGGUGUUAAUUUGAACUUUCAGAUCACAGAAGAGUUGGCAUCUGUUUGCCACAUGCUGAAAAAAAGAAUUACAG